CGUCAGUGUUUGAAGCUAAACUGAAGUCUUAGAGGCCUUCAGAAACCACUGGAGAAGAUGACCUGAAUCCCCUGGAGCUUUGCUGGGGUGCAAGAGUGAAGAGAUUUGUCAAGGAGUCCUACAAGCCCACUCAAGAGGAUGCCAGCAAAGCAAGCACCUGGGCAGGUGGGUGCCAUGUUCUGCAAUCAGCAAGAGUUCAUCUCUAUAACUUGGUAUCAGCUGGAACAAUCCUUCUUGAAACUGCAGAAUCUAUCUCCAAGAUGGCUCCUUUACCAGCUAGUUGGUUGUUGGCUGGGAGCCUAACCAGCACUAUGUGCUGGGGGUCUCAGUUCAUCUCCACAUAAUCUCUCCAUAGUCUGCUUGAGCUUCCUGUAGCAUGAUGGCUGGGUUCCAGAACCUCCAGAGCUGAAAAGUGUGUUCCUUUUUUAUGACUCAUUCUGAGAAAUCACAAAAUGUUCUUCCACUACAGUCACAAAACUGCCUGGAUUCUAAGGAAUGGCAGAGAUCACUUUCUAUCAAUUGAAGGACUUCAAAGUUACAUUUUAAGGAAAACAUAUGUAGUGGGAGAUAUUGGAAUGGUUAUCUUUUCAAAAUACAUCUAAUAUGUCCCAUGGAUAAGCAAAUACUAUAACUUGGGUCCAGUAUUUGUGCUUAAUUUCUGUAUGGUACAUUUUGUUCAAGAAAGAAUUUGUAUAUGUCGCACAUUCUAAAAAGACUUCUUUCUGAUCUGGAGAAAAUGAUGAAACAGGAAUCCAGAAUAAUUCAGGCACCAGGUUUGCACAUUUUAUAACAACCAACUCUCAUGGAAAAUAACUGGGGUCCCAGCAGAACUAUAUUAAUCCCUUUUAAGGGAAGCCCCUUCAUGACCUAAUACCUUGCAUGAGGUUCCACCACCUCUGAACACCACAACACUCAGUUUCUAGCAUAUAAAUUUUUGAGGGAAAUAGUCAAAUCAUAUCAUACCAUAGUACAACUUCAGCUAGCAGCACCUCAGUAAUUGGUGCUGGUUAGUUCAGACAAAUGCCCCUGGGGAAAAAAAAAUGUUUGCACUGAGCAAGCUGUUUCAGGUUGAGUAAAGAUAUGUCCAACUGGGGGAAUUUCCUUGGAAAUACCAGAUAGUCCCAACAAUGGCAGUGCCCUGAGAAUGGUCUUUUGAAAUUCUUCAAACCCUCUGUUCCCUCAAAUGCCUCCUCCUAGGCUGUUGUUUUCCAUAGAUACUUUAGUUAUAAGACCUUUGGUUUUCAGGGCUACUGUAAAGCUGAUGAGAGGGUAGUGGGAACAAAGCAAGUGAAAAAUUAACAAAGCUCACUAUUCUAAAAAAAAAUUCACAUUUUUUUUCUAAAUGAUCUUAAUAUUUUGUAAGUCUUUGGUUAAUUUUCUGCAUUCCAAGGAAUUCAUUUUUUACAAUUUUUGUCAAUAUUAUUGAUUUUGUGGAAGGGUAGCUUUUUAUUUCACCAUUCCUGCUCAUGUCUGACCAAUUAAUCAUAUAAUCAUAAUAAAGUAUGUUUAGAUUUUUGAUGAAAAAAACAAUAAAUAGUGCUAUAGAACCAUAUUGGGGAAUUUUCUUAGUGCAGCAUUAUGUAAAAGUAAUAUUUAAUCUGAGAAGUGAAAUAUGAGCAGAAGUUUACCAGGUGAUUAAGGGAGGAAAGAAUUUUUUAAUAUAAUUCUAAGGAACGAGAAAAAAGAUCACCCAUUAGAGGAACUGAAAUUCUGUAAAAUGGAAUUAAGAUUGAAGAAUGAAU
rnacentral:lncRNA from 1 species